rnacentral:rRNA from 1 species
UACGUAGGGCGCAAGCGUUGUCCGGAAUUAUUGGGCGUAAAGAGCUCGUAGGCGGCCAGUUGCGUCUGCUGUGAAAUCCCGGGGCUCAACCCCGGGCGUGCAGUGGAUACGGGCUGGCUAGAGGCAGGCAGGGGAGAACGGAAUUCCCGGUGUAGCGGUGAAAUGCGCAGAUAUCGGGAGGAACACCGGUGGCGAAGGCGGUUGCCUGGAGCUUUGCUGACGCUGAUGCGCGAAAGCGUGGGGAGCGAUCCGG